UCCCUACGGGAGGCAGCAGUGGGGAAUAUUGCGCAAUGGGCGAAAGCCUGACGCAGCGACGCCGCGUGAGGGAUGGAGGUCUUCGGAUCGUAAACCUCUGUCAGCAGGGAAGAACGGUCACUGUGCUAAUCAGCAGUGAAUUGACGGUACCUGCAAAGGAAGCACCGGCUAACUCCGUGCCAGCAGCCGCGGUAAUACGGAGGGUGCGAGCGUUAAUCGGAAUUACUGGGCGUAAAGCGUGCGCAGGCGGUCCUGCAAGUCUGGAGUGAAA
rnacentral:rRNA from 1 species